UGGGGGUGGGGGAGGAGGCGGAGCAAAUGACUGGGCAGUCAGCCGGAGCCUUUCGUCAUGCGUUCGUCACACAGAUAUACAGAGUGGUGGCUCGUGCUGUGUACACCCAUGGAGGCUGAAAAUCCUCCAGUCAUGUAUAAAGGUCAGCAUAAAUCCAAGCAGGGAAAAUAGAAUGUUGGACAAGUUCUUGUGCUUUCUGAUGGUGCACUGACUACCCCAACUUGAACAUCUGUGGGUUGGCGCCACACAGUCUCUGCACUGCCUCUACUGUCAGUGGGGUGUCUGAAAGCUGUCAACUUACCCAUCUGGAACCAGGAGUCAUCCCCAUUCUCUGCUCUGAAGGCGGUUAUGGCUUGGCGCAGAGCAGAAACUACUGCAUAGGAGAGGCAGAGAGGAGGCUCCCCAGUAGCUGAAGAGGAAUUUUAAAGAUAUUAAAUUCACCAUAUGGACAAUUGCAUAAAGGAUGUGCAUCUGGGUGCUGGUGGGUGAGGGAAGGAUCUCUCAUACACAAAUGUAAGAGGCUGUACUGAUAACGGUCAGAUAAUGGCAAUAAUGCUUGUUUGAGAAAGUUGACAGCUAACUCUCUUUGUUUGUCAGCUUUUCUCCCACAAGUUUGCUAUGAUGUACUAACUUUGUGCUUUGUACUUCCAUAUUAUCUACCACAACUCAGCUCAUACACUAGUUAAGGAAUUUUGUUUGAUAGUUAUAAGCAAUAGUAAUUGCAUUAUGUAAAACAAAGAAAUUCCCAUUUGCAGCAGCUAUGGGAAGAAAAAGAAAUCUGAAAAUUUUGUGUACGAGUUUUCAUAAAAAGCUGUACAUGGAGAUGGAAAUGUUUAAAGGCACUUCACCUCAUACCUCACAUCUUUAUAAGCAGUUGCAUGCUUCACUUAAAUGGCACUUUCAUGUGAAAAAUAUAAAAUAUUGUGUUUGGGAAACUAAUAAAGUGUAAGUAUUAAUUCUAUAGCUGCAGCAGAUGGCAGCCACAUAGGGAGCUUGAAUCUGUUCUCUGACUUGAACUUUUCACUCUUGUUUUCCUCUUGUUUUCUCUUUUCUUAUUUUUUGAGGUCUGUCUCAGGCAGGUCAGAACAAUAGUUUUUUUUUUUGCCAUUAUUUUCACUACAACUAAGGCAUUAGGUCCAUUGAAAGAACUGAAACCCAAUGUCAGCAAUGACCUGACUGUAUAUUUUGGGAUAUGAUAAUUUGAUUCUUUCUUAAAAAAUUGCAUUUUUGUUUUACUUUGUCAAAUAUAAGACUUAAAUGUGCAACAGGCUGCAUUGUAUGUAAUAGUGAUGCCUGUUCAUUGGCAAUUAGCCUCUUAUUAACAUUCAUUAGCACAAUCUAGGCAUACAGUUUUUUGCAGAAAAGUUAAUUUGACAGAUAAAAUCUUCAUGCUUGCUAAAUAAAGACCAUGUAAUAAUACUGCGGCAGUUGAUUACAGUAUAUAUGUGCCAACUCUUGGUUUCUGGCAGCAAGUGUCAAUCAACUGAGCACAGGAGAAAGAAAAAAAUAAAUAAUUUGAUAACUUUCUGUAAAGAUUUAUGUACCUAUUAUCUAUCUGUAUACCAGGCUGGCAGUCUCAUAUGGGAUGGUGCACCACACAUUCACACACACAUGUGUGGAAAGGACAGUCUUGUGGCCCAACACACUAUCUCUCAGGAGUCUAGACACAUCACAACUGGCCUCGCACAUCCACAGCAAGAACAAACAGCAUACACUGGUUUUACCCCUGCCCCUUCAAAGAAACCUCCCUACCCUACACCUACUCCAGUCCUGUUUGAAACCUCCCUACCCUACACCUACUCCAGUCCUGGAGACCAAAGAAUGUACAGGGUACUUCCUACAGAGCACUCUACAUUUUAACUGGGUUUGUGUGUCCAUGGGGCCUGCUAAGUGCAACCACACCCCUUCCCAAGGGUUGAGAGACCACAUCAUUUUCAUGCAUUCACCAUUGUUGCUUUCCAUUCACCUCUAUCAUGCACAAUCACUCUUGAAAUAUGCAAAUAAAGAUUUAUUUCCACCACAAAAGGCUAACUGACAACAUGCACUCAAGUAGGGUAGCUAACACAACACAGCUCACCAUACAUUUAAAUCUUGAAAACAGUUUUUAACAUAACACCAAAAAAUAUGUAUUCAGUAUUUUUUAAUUACUUGAAUGAUUAUAUCCUGAACAAUGAACCAUGACUUUUGGUAACCUGUAGUAUGUAGUGUCUUGGAGAGAUAAAGCUUUAGUUGCUAUCAAUUCAAUAAUGAUAUACUGUUGUUUAUAAAACAGAUAGGAGAAUGGGGAACCAGAUUAUCUAAAGGAGGGAUGGGCUUGGAAAAAUUUCUACUUGUAGGGCCGGGGAUCUAACCAGUUACUUUUAUUUACCCCAAUGAAAGUAAUCAUACUGGAUUUCAAUGUCAAGGGGAUUAAAAUGAGGUAACUGAGAAUAUUUAGUACAAUUAAAAGUUCUCAAUUUUUUUUUUUUUUAUAUAUAUUUACAAUUUAGCAUUGCCCUUGUAUUCACACCUUACCUUUGGAGCCAAGAACACCAUACGGUUGCUUGGCAUUGGGAAGUAGGGUUAUUCUCAAGUCUGCUGGGAUAUCCAGGGCUGUUGGUGGCUUGUAUUCCUGAAAGAUAUUGUACUUCCAAGUAAAUUUUCACCUAAUUUA